rnacentral:rRNA from 1 species
AUUGAACGCUGGCGGCAGGCCUAACACAUGCAAGUCGAACGAGUGGCGGACGGGUGAGUAAUGUCUGGGAAACUGCCUGAUGGAGGGGGAUAACUACUGGAAACGGUAGCUAAUACCGCAUACCAUCGGAUGUGCCCAGGUGGGAUUAGGUAGUUGGUGGGGUAAAGGCUCACCAAGGCGACGAUCUCUAGCUGGUCUGAGAGGAUGACCAGCCACACUGGGACUGAGACACGGCCCAGACUCCUACGGGAGGCAGCAGUGGGGAAUAUUGCACAAUGGGGGCAAUCCUGACGCAGCCAUGCCGCGUGAAUGAAGAAGGCCUUCGGGUUGUAAAGUACUUUCGGUAGGGAGGCGUUAACUACAGAAGAAGCACCGGCUAACUCCGUGCCAGCAGCCGCGGUAAUUC